rnacentral:tRNA from 1 species
GACAAGGUAGCUCAGUUGGGUAGAGCGAUCGACUGUAAAUCGAUUUGUCGCGGGUUCAAAUCCCGCCCUUAUCU